CCUACGGGAGGCAGCAGUGGGGAAUAUUGGGCAAUGGGCGCAAGCCUGACCCAGCAACGUAGCGUGAAGGAAGACGGCCCUCGGGUUGUAAAACUUCUUUGAUAGGGAAGUGCAGAAGACGGUACCUGUCUAAUAAGCUACGGCUAACUACGUGCCAGCAGCCGCGGUAAUACGUAGGUGGCAAGCGUUGUCCGGAUUUACUGGGUGUAACGGGAGUGUAGACGGGCUGGCAAGUCAGAUGUGAAAUCCGGGGGCUCAACCCCCGAACUGCAUUUGAAACUGUUGGUCUUGAGUAUCGGAGAGGCAGGCGGAAUUCCUAGUGUAGCGGUGAAAUGCGUAGAUAUUAGGAGGAACACCAGUGGCGAAGGCGGCCUACUGGACGGCAACUGACGGUGAGGCGCGAAAGCGUGGGGAGCAAACAGGAUUAGAUACCCGUGUAGUC
rnacentral:rRNA from 1 species